GACGAACGCUGGCGGCGUGCUUAACACAUGCAAGUCGAACGGGAGUAUCGAAGAAGCUUGCUUUUAAGAUACUUUAGUGGCGGACGGGUGAGUAACGCGUGAGGAGCUGUCCUAUGCAGGGGGACAACAGUUGGAAACGACUGCUAAUACCCCAUAAGCCGAGAGGUAAAAGGAUUUAUCCGGCAAAGGAGGUACUCGCGUCCUAUCAGCUAGUAGGUGAGGUAACGGCUCACCUAGGCGAAGACGGGUAGCCGGCCUGAGAGGGCGAACGGCCACACUGGAACUGAGAUACGGUCCAGACUCCUACGGGAGGCAGCAGUGGGGAAUAUUGGGCAAUGGGGGGAACCCUGACCCAGCGACGCCGCGUGGGUGAAGAAAUCCUUCGGGAUGUAAAGCCCUGUUGUAUGGGAAGAGCAGAAGACGGUACCAUACGAGGAAGCCCCGGCAAACUACGUG
rnacentral:rRNA from 1 species